rnacentral:lncRNA from 1 species
ACACCCUCCCCUACCUGAUAUGGCGGCGGCGGCUCCUGAUCCGGCUCCGUCCCCUCGCCAAAGCUAGCCCGGUCGGACUGAGACUCGUGAAGCAGGGAGAUGUCAUCCGAGGUGGGGGAUUUGAGGCAGUUCCCCAUCUUCCGGAGCUGGGGUGCGUGAUCUGGGGGAGGAGAAAGCAGCGGUGGGGUCGUUCGCACACUCCGCGGUC